rnacentral:tRNA from 2 species
UGGCGGGAUAGCUCAGUUGGCUAGAGCACACGGUUCAUACCCGUGGUGUCGCUGGUUCAAAUCCAGUUCCCGCUAU